GCCGGAUGCAGUAGUGUGCGCCUGUAGUCCCAGCUACUUGGGAGGCUGAGGCGGGAGGAUCGCUUGAGCCCAGGAGUUCUGGGCUGUAGUAUGCUAUGCCGAUCAGGUGUCCACACUAAAUUUGGCAUCAAUAUGGUGACCUCCAGGGAGUGGGGGACACCAGGUUGCCUAAGGAGGGGUGAACCGGCCCAGGUCAGAAACAGCUGGUCAAAACUCCUAUGCUAAUCAGUAGUGGGAUCGCGCCUAUGAAUAGUCACUGCACUCCAGCCUGGGCAACAUAGCAAGACCCCGUCUCUU
ensembl:misc_RNA Metazoa_SRP Metazoan signal recognition particle RNA